AGCGAACGCUGGCGGCAGGCUUAACACAUGCAAGUCGAACGCCCCGCAAGGGGAGUGGCAGACGGGUGAGUAACACGUGGGAACGUACCCUUUGGUUAGGAAUAACUUGGGGAAACUCAAGCUAAUACCGGAUAAGCCCUUAUGGGGAAAGGUUUACUGCCGAAGGAACGGCCCGCGUCUGAUUAGCUAGUUGGGGAGGUAAUGGCUCACCAAGGCGACGAUCAGUAGCUGGUCUGAGAGGAUGAUCAGCCACACUGGGACUGAGACACGGCCCAGACUCCUACGGGAGGCAGCAGUGGGGAAUAUUGGACAAUGGGGGCAACCCUGAUCCAGCCAUGCCGCGUGAGUGAUGAAGGCCUUAGGGUUGUAAAGCUCUUUUACCCGGGACGAUAAUGACCGUACCGGGAGAAUAAGCCCCGGCUAACUUCGUGCCAGCAGCCGCAGUAA
rnacentral:rRNA from 1 species